rnacentral:rRNA from 1 species
GGGGGGGUGCAAGCGUUAUUCGGAAUCACUGGGCGUAAAGAGCGCGUAGGCGGGUCUCUUAAGUCAGAUGUGAAAGCCCGGGGGCUCAACCCCGGAAGUGCAUUUGAAACGAAGGGACUUGAGUAUGGGAGAGGGAAGUGGAAUUCCUGGUGUAGCGGUGAAAUGCGUAGAUAUCAGGAGGAACACCGGUGGCGAUGGCGACUUCCUGGACCAAUACUGACGCUGAGGCGCGAAGGCGUGGGGAGCAAACAGGAUUAGAUACCCUGGUAGUCCACGCAGUAAACGUUGAACACUAGGUGUAGCGGGUAUUGACCCCUGCUGUGCCGCAGCUAACGCAUUAAGUGUUCCGCCUGGGGAGUACGGCCGCAAGGCUA